rnacentral:rRNA from 1 species
AGUGAACGCUGGCGGUAGGCCUAACACAUGCAAGUCGAACGGCAGCACAGUAAGAGCUUGCUCUUACGGGUGGCGAGUGGCGGACGGGUGAGGAAUACAUCGGAAUCUACUUUUUCGUGGGGGAUAACGUAGGGAAACUUACGCUAAUACCGCAUACGACCUACGAGUGAAAGCAGGGGAUCUUCGGACCUUGCGCGAUUGAAUGAGCCGAUGUCGGAUUAGCUAGUUGGCGGGGUAAAGGCCCACCAAGGCGACGAUCCGUAGCUGGUCUGAGAGGAUGAUCAGCCACACUGGAACUGAGACACGGUCCAGACUCUUACGGGAGGCAGCAGUGGGGAAUAUUGGACAAUGGGCGCAAGCCUGAUCCAGCCAUACCGCGUGGGUGAAGAAGGCCUUCGGGUUGUAAAGCCCUUUUGUUGGGAAAGAAAAGCAGCAGGUUAAUACCCCGCUGUUCUGACGGUACCCAAAGAAUAAGCACCGGCUAACUUCGUG